CAGGAGGGUGGCACACCAGAGGCACUGCCUGGGGGCUCCCCAAACCCUUAGAAGAAUCCGAAUCAUCGUAGAGUUUUUCUCUAAAUAUCAAGCUUCCACAGACUCUCUGAAGUAGAAAUAUUUUAAAACAAUCAAGUAGAACCCAUUGGCAAUGCUGUGUCCUUUUGAAUGCCAUCCACAGCCUCUCCCUGGACACAGAUGAGGAAACCUCCAUUGGCUGAAGAUCACCCAGCCAGGACCAGUGGCCACGCUCCUGUCAAGUACCAAGCUGCCG